rnacentral:rRNA from 1 species
UGGGGAAUAUUGCACAAUGGGCGCAAGCCUGAUGCAGCCAUGCCGCGUGUGUGAAGAAGGCCUUCGGGUUGUAAAGCACUUUCAGCGAGGAGGAAGGUGGUGGACUUAAUACGUUCAUCAAUUGACGUUACUCGCAGAAGAAGCACCGGCUAACUCCGUGCCAGCAGCCGCGGUAAUACGGAGGGUGCAAGCGUUAAUCGGAAUUACUGGGCGUAAAGCGCACGCAGGCGGUUUGUUAAGUCAGAUGUGAAAUCCCCCGGGCUCAACCUGGGAACUGCAUUUGAAACCGGCAAGCUAGAGUCUCGUAGAGGGGGGUAGAAUUCCAGGUGUAGCGGUGAAAUGCGUAGAGAUCUGGAGGAAUACCGGUGGCGAAGGCGGCCCCCUGGACGAAGACUGACGCUCAGGUGCGAAAGCGUGGGGAGCAAAACAGGAUUAGAUACCCUGGUAGUCCACGCUGUAAACGAUGUCGAUUUUGGAGGUUGUGCCCUUGAGGCGUGGCUUCCGGAGCUAACGCGUUAAAUCGACCGCCUGGGGAGUACGGCCGCAAGGUUAAAACUUAAAUGAAUUGAC